GAUGAAGAACGUAGCGAAAUGCGAUAAGUAAUGUGAAUUGCAGAAUUCAGUGAAUCAUCGAAUCUUUGAACGCACAUUGCGCCCGCUAGUAUUCUGGCGGGCAUGCCUGUUCGAGCGUCAUUUCAACCAUCAAGCCCGGCUGGGUGUUGGGCGCUGUCCCCCCGGGGACACGCCCCAAAGGCAGUGGCGGCGCCGCGUCGGGUCCUCGAGCGUAUGGGGCUUUGUCACCCGCUCGGGACGGACUCGUCGGCGCUGGUCUUCCUCCAGGCGACCCUUCGGGGCUCGUCUUCCUUCGGUUGACCUCGGAUCAGGUAGGGUUACCCGCUGAACUUAAGCAUAUCAAUAAGCGGAGGA
rnacentral:misc_RNA from 1 species